AAGGAGGGGGCUGGCCGGCCGACCGAGAACGAGGGAGACUGUGAGGAGCGCAAGCCCGGAAAGACUGCAGAACAGCUCGGGAGGAGAGACCCCCUCCCCAGAGAGGGGAGACAGAGGGAUCGAGAGAGAGUUACUGAGCUGCAGACUGUAUCUCCAGCUACCCAAAGGCUCCCCCCGUCCCCAGCCACACGCCCAAUGCUGUGCCACGAUCUGGAUUCAUCACACCGGAAGGCCUACCUUGCUGACAGCUGACCAAGGAGGGUAUGCCACACAGCCCGUGCCUACCCCAGCACACACAGUGGUCCUGCCUCGGAGGCCGGAAGGACGUUCACUGCUUCCGCUUGCUGACGGGUGAGACGGUGCCGGCCGUGAAGUCUCCAGG